rnacentral:rRNA from 1 species
UACGUAGGAGGCGAGCGUUGUCCGGAGUUACUGGGCGUAAAGGGUGCGCAGGCGGCCGCGCGCGUGGGUGGUGAAAUCUCCCGGCUCAACUGGGAGGGGGCCAUCCAGACGGCGUGGCUUGAGGCUCGGAGGGGGGCGUGGAAUCCGGGUGGAGCGGUGAAAUGCGCAGAUAUCAGGAGGAACACCUAUGGCGAAGGCAGCUCUCUGGUACGUGACUGACGCUGAGACGCGAAAGCGUGGGGAGCAAACAGG